GUACAUGUAUAUACAUGUAUUAUGUGUAUACACACACAGAUACAUGGGUAUUUAUGCAGCUAAGUGAUUUAUAUGUGUGUAUACAUAUACACACAUAUAUUUAUACA
rnacentral:miRNA from 1 species